CCUACGGGCGGCAGCAGUCGGGAAUCUUUCACAAUGGGGGAAACCCUGAUGCUGCGACGCCGCGUGGGGGAAUGAAGGUCUUCGUAUUGUAAACCCCUUUCAUGUGGGAGCAAAUUAAAAAAAUAGUACCACAAGCUCAAGCUACCUCUAACUCUGUGCCAGCAGCCGCGGUAAUACAGAGGGCUCAAUCGUUGUUCGGAAUCACGGGGCGUAAGGGGUGCGUCGGCGGUUGCGUAAGUCGUGUGUGAAAGGCUCGGGCUCAACCCGGGGACGGCAACUGAAACUGCGGGACUAGAGUAAUGGAGGGGGAAGCGGAAUUCUCGGUGUAGCGGUGAAAUGCGUAGAUAUCAAGAGGAACACUCGUGGCGAAGGCGGGUUGCUGGACAUUAACUGACGCUGAGGCACGAAGGCGAGGGGAGCGAAAGGGAUUAGAUACCCUUGUAGUC
rnacentral:rRNA from 1 species